GCCCGGGCUGCGCCGACCGCCGGCCCCGAGCCGCCGCGGGCUCCGAGGAGUCGGCCGAGCUGCUCCCGCGCCCUGGCCGGGGACUUACCAAUUUGGGAUUCUUCCAGGAGCUGAAAACUGAUUACAAAUAUGAAACAGAUUUCACUACAGGACUUGAACCCUACAUUAAAAAACAACAAGCUCCCCAAAAUAAUUGAAAAAGAUCUUCACCAAAGAGUAGCUGCAAUGUGAAUGGCAGGAUAUGAAGCAAGUAAGAGAUGGUGAAAAGAUUAUCUUAAGCUUGGAAUUAAGUGAUGAAAGGGACCUUCGAAAUUAUCAACUCUAAAUACUUCUUUACAGGAAAAUUGAAAGCAGUUAAGAACCUGCCCCCUACCGUGGAGUUCUUGGUGCCGUGAGUUGGAGUUCUUGGUGCCUGGGUGCGUCCCCAAGGCCACUGGUCUUCAGAUCUUUCUUACUUGAGAAGAACGCCUCCGCCUCCUGGCUCUCCCACCAGUGGUACUGCCACCACCACACACCAGCAUAAAGCACAGAUUGCUGCCCAGCUCCUUGGAGAGGGGCCAGUGCAUUUGUCAGGAAUUGAAAAGUUUUGGAGCCAGUUCGAGGACUUUCUGCUGCACAAAGUGUUGGCUGGAAGCAUGAUUAUCUCACACAGAGCGUUGGAAUUACUUCGUGAUGAUUUCAA
rnacentral:lncRNA from 1 species